AGGGAGCCACUCUGCGUUCACUCG
rnacentral:miRNA from 2 species